CAUAGAACCAAGCAAGGACACGAGACCAACAUGACAGAGGCCACAUCGCCAUGGUGAAGUACCACUUGAAAGCGUAGGGCUUGGAGGCCAAGGAAGCAAAGCCGAGCCGCAAAUGGUAGAUGGAGUCUGUCGUGGUUAGAUGCGUCAGGUGUACGAUGUCUGGUGACUCUUCCUGCCUUUUCAGUGAAGUCUCGUACAAAUCAUCCGAGGACUUGUCCACAGUACCGUAUAAGUAAUCGUACAUGGGCAUGAAU
rnacentral:lncRNA from 1 species